rnacentral:tRNA from 2 species
GGGGCUGUAGCUCAGUGGCAGAGCACUUGCCUAGCAUGCAUGUUGGCACUGGGUUCAAUCCUCAGUACCA